GACGUAGGGCGCGAGCGUUGUCCGGAUUAUUGGGCGUAAAGAGCUCGUAGGCGGCUUGUCGCGUCGUCCGUGAAAACUUGGGGCUCAACCCCAAGCUUGCGGUCGAUACGGGCAGGCUAGAGUUCGGUAGGGGAGACUGGAAUUCCUGGUGUAGCGGUGAAAUGCGCAGAUAUCAGGAGGAACACCGGUGGCGAAGGCGGGUCUCUGGGCCGAUACUGACGCUGAGGAGCGAAAGCGUGGGGAGCGAACAGG
rnacentral:rRNA from 1 species